rnacentral:lncRNA from 1 species
GUGGUGUCGAUCAGAUCGACGGCUGUGAGUUCGAUGAUCGAACGGCUGGGAUUAAUUGCGACGGAUAUUACGAUGAUAUGAUGAUGAGUGGCGUUAAUCAUUGGGGUGGUUCGGUUUACACUAACCAACCCAUCAUGGCCAAUGAUAUCAAUAUGUAUUGAAUUAAAAUUAAUUAUAAAAACUAGUAUUAUUGCCCCCUUUAUUAUUCUUAAGUUUAGCUUUUUGUGGUUUGGGGUUGGUGUGGAGAUGUAGCAAAGUACAUGCAUCUUGAUUGUUUGGAAGGAUAAAUAAACUUAUAUAUUGGGGCAUAUAUAUAGGCUGUCCUUUGUUAUGUAUUGGUGUGCGCUUUUUGUUUAUUAAUAAUAAUAUAAAUUUUGAAUUUGAAUGUUAUGGUUGAUAGGAUUUAGUUAUCAUCAUUUCUCCCUCUUGUCAUACUAUACUUAUUCUGUUUACGUAAACAAUUAUCAAAUUCUAUAUACCAAUAGAGUUAUUUUCUUAUAAAAGAACUUAUAAUGUGAUUUUCUUUCAACUAAUUGGCUACAUAACUGAUUUGCUUAGAAUCUUGGAAAGCAUUUGUUGGAAUGGUAAAUUUUAGAAUGAUCCCAAAUUCACAUUCUGAAUAGUUCUUAUAUGAUUAUUUAGGUUAAUUUGAACUCUAACUUAAGUACUAUUAGAUUUUUAUAAAAAAAAUUACAAAAUUUUGUUUAAUAGAAAUAAUAAUUACAUCUAUAAUUUAUGAAUUUUGAUUUUAUAUAAUUAUUUAAAUAAAUAAUUGUACAUUAUUUAUUUUAGUUAAUUUUAUAAAACUUAAGUUUUGAAAAUUAAUUGAUAGAUUAAAUUAUUUAACUAUAUCAUGGCUAAUGAUAUCAAUAUGUAUUGAAUUAAAAUUAAUUAUAAAAACUAGUAUUAUUGCCCCCUUUAUUAUUCACCUUGUUUUCUUCUUCUCCUAAUUGCUUUUUA